GAUGAACGCUGGCGGCGUGCCUAAUACAUGCAAGUCGAGCGAACAGACGAGGAGCUUGCUCCUCUGACGUGAGCGGCGGACGUGUGAGUAACACGUGUAUAACCUACCUAUAAGUCUGGGAUAACUUCGGGAAACCGGAGCUUAUACCGUAUAAUAUAUUGAACCGCAUGGUUCAAUAGUGAGAGACGGUUUUGCUGUCACUUAUCGAUGGAUCCGCGCCGCAUUAGCUAGUUGGUAAGGUAACGGCUUACCAAGGCAACGAUGCGUUGCCGAACUGAGAGGGUGAUCGGCCACACUGGAAGUGAGACACGGUCCAGACUCCUACGGGAGGCAGCAGUAGGGAAUGUUCCGCAAUGGGCGGAAGCUUGACGGAGCAACGCCGCGUGAGUGAUGAAGGUCUUCGGAUCGUAAAACUCUGUUAUUAGGGAAGAACAAAUGUGUAAGUAAAUAUGCACGUCUUGACGGUACCUAAUAAGAAAGCCACGGCUAACUACGUG
rnacentral:rRNA from 1 species